AGAGUUUGAUCCUGGCUCAGAGCGAACGCUGGCGGCAGGCUUAACACAUGCAAGUCGAGCGGGCGUAGCAAUACGUCAGCGGCAGACGGGUGAGUAACGCGUGGGAACGUACCUUUUGGUUCGGAACAACACAGGGAAACUUGUGCUAAUACCGGAUAAGCCCUUACGGGGAAAGAUUUAUCGCCGAAAGAUCGGCCCGCGUCUGAUUAGCUAGUUGGUGAGGUAACGGCUCACCAAGGCGACGAUCAGUAGCUGGUCUGAGAGGAUGAUCAGCCACAUUGGGACUGAGACACGGCCCAAACUCCUACGGGAGGCAGCAGUGGGGAAUAUUGGACAAUGGGCGCAAGCCUGAUCCAGCCAUGCCGCGUGAGUGAUGAAGGCCCUAGGGUUGUAAAGCUCUUUUGUGCGGGAAGAUAAUGACGGUACCGCAAGAAUAAGCCCCGGCUAACUUCGUGCCAGCAGCCGCGGUAAUACAAAGGGGGCUAGCGUUGCUCGGAAUCACUGGGCGUAAAGGGUGCGUAGGCGGGUCUUUAAGUCAGGGGUGAAAUCCUGGAGC
rnacentral:rRNA from 1 species